AAGCCAUGGUGUGGGCAUAGUUUGAGCAUAUUUUUAAAUCUAUCCCACGCUUCAUAGAGAGAUUUAGUGUCAAAGUGUCUGAAACUAGCAAUUAAAUUCUGCAUAU